AAUAGAUACCCAGGUAGUCCACGCCCUAAACGAUGAUAACUCGAUGUUUGCGAUACACAGUAAGCGUCUUAGCGGAAGCGUUAAGUUAUCCACCUGGGGAGUACGGUCGCAAGAUUGAAACUCAAAGGAAUUGACGGGGGCCCGCACAAGCGGAGGAGCAUGUGGUUUAAUUCGAUGAUACGCGAGGAACCUUACCCGGGCUUGAAAGUUAGUGAAUGAGACAGAGACGUCUCAGUCCUUCGGGACACGAAACUAGGUGCUGCAUGGCUGUCGUCAGCUCGUGCCGUGAGGUGUUGGGUUAAGUCCCGCAACGAGCGCAACCCCGUAUGUUUAGUUGCCAGCAUGUAAUGAUGGGGACUCUAAACAGACUGCCUGUGCAAACAGAGAGGAAGGUGGGGACGACGUCAAGUCAUCAUGGCCCUUACGUCCGGGGCUACACACGUGCUACAAUGGAUGGUACAGCGGGCAGCUACGAUAGCAAUAUGAUGCUAAUCUCUAAAACGCCAUUCACAGUUCGGU
rnacentral:rRNA from 1 species